rnacentral:misc_RNA from 1 species
AUAACUUGUUUGAUAUAAAGUUUAAAAAUGGAAUAAUUGAAAUCCCAGAAAUACGAAUCGGAGAUGAAACAGAGCGUCUCUGGCGAAAUCUCAUUGCCUACGAGCAGUUAACCUCUUCCCGAGGUCUCCACAACACUUCUCUAAUUAUAUUGCUUUCAUGGAUGACGUCAUCGAUUCUGCAAAGGAUGUGGAGAUACUUCGUAGCCGGGGGAUCAUUGUGAACAGGAAGGUUGACGAUGAAACCAUUGCAAUUUUAUUCAAUAAGAUUGGGAAAAAUGUCUUCUGCGACAGAGCUCUCUAUGCUGAUAUAGUGGAAGAUGUAGACAAGCAUUGCGAAGACAAAUGGAAUAGGUGGAUGAGUAAGUGGAAUCAGUGGAUGGCCAAUUUAUGGGACAAUUAUUUUAACACGC